AGAUCGUUUACCGUGAAAAAAUUAGAGUGUUCAAAGCAGGCAGAUCCAAUUUUCUGCCACCGAAUACAUUAGCAUGGGAUAAUGGAAUAGGACCCUGUCCUCCUAUUUUCAGUUGGUUUUGGCAGCGCGAGGACUAGGGUAAUGAUUAAUAGGGAUAGUUGGGGGCAUUAAUAUUUAAUUGUCAGAGGUGAAAUUCUUGGAUUUAUGAAAGAUUAACUUCUGCGAAAGCAUCUGCCAAGGAUGUUUUCAUUAAUCAAGAACGAAAGUUAGGGGAUCGAAGACGAUCAGAUACCGUCGUAGUCUUAACCAUAAACGAUGCCGACCAGCGAUUAGGAGACGUUGAAUACAAAACACCGCCAUCGGUUGCGGUCGUCCUUGGCGUCUCGGUUUCGGCCGGGGCGCGGGACGUUAGCCCGGCCCGA
rnacentral:rRNA from 1 species